rnacentral:rRNA from 1 species
UACAGAGGUCUCAAGCGUUGUUCGGAAUCACUGGGCGUAAAGGGUGCGUAGGCGGCGUGGUAAGUCAGUUGUGAAAGGCCGGGGCUCAACCCUGGUAUUGCAACCGAUACUGCCGUGCUGGAGUGCUGGAGGGGAGUCUGGAAUUCACGGUGGAGCAGUGAAAUGCGUAGAUAUCGUGAGGAACACCAGUGGCGAAGGCGAGACUCUGGACAGCAACUGACGCUGAGGCACGAAGGCUAGGGUAGCGAACGGG